rnacentral:rRNA from 1 species
GUGGGGAAUAUUGGGCAAUGGGGGAAACCCUGACCCAGCGACGCCGCGUGAGGGAAGAAGGCCUUAGGGUCGUAAACCUCUGUUGUGUGGGAAGAAGAGCGUGACGGUACCACACGAGGAAGUCCCGGCUAACUACGUGCCAGCAGCCGCGGUAAUACGUAGGGGACGAGCGUUGUCCGGAUUUACUGGGCGUAAAGGGCGCGUAGGCGGUCAUUUAAGUCAGCUGUGAAAUGGUUUGGCUUAACCGGAUCAUGCGGUUGAAACUGGAUGACUGGAGUGCUGGAGAGGCAAGUGGAAUUCCCAGUGUAGCGGUGAAAUGUGUAGAGAUUUGGAAGAACACCAGUGGCGAAGGCGACUUUCUGGACGAUGUCUGACGCUGAGGCGCGAAAGCUAGGGGAGCGAACGGGAUUAGAUACCCCAGUAGUCC